GUAACUGCCAGACGAGGCGUCUCCUCCGAAACGCGACGUUUUUCUCAGGCCGGAAACGCGCGGGUGGCGUCAUUGCGUGGCCCCGCCCACCGCCCUAGGCCGCCGCUGCCAGGAAAGCCUCUGUCAUUGGCAAAGAGCAAAGGCUUCGUUUUCCAAAUCUCUCCAAAAGAAAUGGAAAAGGCUCAAAGUGCAAUGGUUCACCCCAGGCAGAGGAAGGAGAAUUACUCAAGCUUUCCUAAUUUCCCCCUGAGCCCUUCACCUCACCACCCCCUCCCCCAACCCCUACCACCAAAUACCUGCUCAAGUCAGGUUGCUUUGCAGUCACAGAAAGUAACCCUUCCAGGUAACUGUGGAGGCCAAGAAAAUUAAGGCCAUCCUACCUCAAGUUUAGCUGAUGUGGGAAACAGAGGCAGAAGAAAAUCAUUCAAAUUCCUUACCUACUGACAAGCCCUUGAAACAGACAGAGUGGCUCUCCCCUAGGGACUUAACUGCCCUCACCUUGAGGUUUUGCUAAGGACAGUCCUAGCCCAACUGACCCCCUACCCCAACAGGUCCCACCAGGAUCCUGUAAGUCUACUUUAGGAAACUUUAUUUCUAAACCCCCAAGAUAGUGUCAGCAAUCAUUCCCAAGCAUAUGGCCCACUGAUAUACAUCUAAACGGUCUCAUGGGAAGAUUUUUACUACUGGUAAUAAAUAACCUUUCUCCCAAGAAUAGCUAGCCCCUCAAGGUCCUGGAGACCAUGCUUCCAAAAAUCCUUGGGAGACUUACAUCAUCCAUAAUCCCCUUUGUCCUCACCCACCGCCAAGUCCACCCCUACUCUGCCUUUAAAAACUCUGACUGUAAUCUGGU